GAUAGCUCAGUUGGUAGAGCAUGAGGUUCUCAAUCUCAGGGUUGUGGGUUCAAGCACCUUGUUGGGCA